UGGCCUGUUAUGCGCCUUGUGCCUGCCCAGGCUGACCUAUGGUCUCUGUCAACGUUUCACCCGAGGAAGAGGAAAGAGUUCAGUUUAUUCUGUUAAAGAAAAGCCGACUCCACGAGGUGCUGAUUGAGGGGUCAGCAGAAGCCUUUGGCAAAGAGCACCACUCUGAAAGGUCUGGGAUAUCAAGCAGUGGCUGCAGAACUCGUGGAUGCGCAAGACCACGUUCCUGGAUCUGUGCAUUGUGCUCGCCCCAGCUCUCCGCGCAGGGACAUCAGAAUGAGAGCUGCACUGACAGCUGAGAAGCAAGUCACAAUCACAUUCUGGAAGCUUGCAGUGGUCACUGUUACUCGGGGUUAGUCUGCGCUGGCAAUGCUAAACUGCUACUGCAGCAGUGCUUUAACGUGCCUUGUGUGGUCGCAGCACGGAGCUGGGGGAGAGCUCUCCCAGCGCUCUCAAAAAAACACCUCCACGAGGGGCGUAGCUACCAGCGCUGGAAGCACAGGAGCACCUGCCAGGCAGUCCUUUCCCCUCCCGCCUGAAAAGCAUCCUCCGAGCUGGCACAGGGUAGUGCUCAGAGGCAGGUCAGCAUGGGAAUGCUGCAGUUGGGGCUGGGCAGGAGAGCACAGGUGCCCAGGAGCCGAGCUCCUAUUCUGACAACUGUUAGUGGAUCACUAGUUGGCAGGUGGGAAUGUUCUAGCUCCAAAGAGACCUGGGGCAAAGUUCAAGACCUGUGCUCCCUGAUAGCAAGUGUGUAGAGCCAUUACUCAUCCCCUGCUACACAGGACUGUCACUCUUCGCAAUGUGCAGGACAUAGUGGAUGGACUUGCAGCAAUAGGAUCUCUGAACUGUGGUGGAGCAAGAGGCAACACACACAAACCUAUAUUGGCACCAGAGCACCUUGCCACUGAAUACAUCAACAGAGAACUGGAUUUAGACCCUGCAUCUCCCACUUCCUAGAAGAUUGCAAGUGAGAACAAAAGACAAGAGGACUUGCAGCCUGAACGGUCAGGAAGAAGGCUGGAGAAUCUCAUCACCACCAGGAAGAGGCAGGUCUAUAUGACUGGGGACUCCCUACUAAGAAAAACUGAAAGGUCUGUCACCAGAGCUGAUCCAGAGAACAGAGGGGUGAGCUAUCUACCAGGAGCUAAGAUACAGGAUCUGGACCUGAGACUGAAGAGGGUCCUAAUGGGAGCAGGAAAGAAUCCACUGAUUGUUCUUCAUAUGGGAACAAAUGACACAGCUAGAUUCUCACUGGAACACAUCCAGGAAGACUAUGCCAGGCUAGAGAAGAUGCUUAAGGAAAUGGAGGCUCAGGUGAUCUUCAGUGGGAUUCUACCUGUCCCUGGAGGAGGAGAAUGAAGGCAAAACAAGAUUAUGAUAAUCAAUAGAUAGCUCAGGCAGUGGUGCUAUUGUUAUACCAAUAAAAUAAAAACCAGCAGGAUCUUAUUAAAGGGGAAAAGGCAAAAUGCCACAUUUAUUGUGAAUACAGAAAGAAUCAUAGUAAGCAGUUAGUUAUAGCUAUAACAUUCCAUUCAAUCUCAUAUUUAUUCACACAUUCAUUCAUACACACACACACACACACACAAACAGAGGUUCUGCAAGGUUGUUAUAAUAGUUACCAGCCUUAGAGCUGCUCAUGCCAAGCCACUGGCCAGGUUGCCUGGACAUGAGGAGGAAGCAGGGCCUUGUCAGAUGUACAUCUGAUGCUCCUGGAAGUUGGUUUGCAGAAUCAGACCCCAAAGUUCUCACUUUCUAGAGUCCAUUUUUAUAGGAAUUUCUUCCUAUGCCAGUCUAUGGGAAUUGCUUCAUCAUGCUGUUGCUGAAUCAAUCAGCAGAUGGCACAUUCCUGACGUCUCCGUGCUGCUAGAUGUUAUCUUGUUCUUUGGUUCUCCCAUUCUUCAGGCUGUUGGGUGGAUUCCAGUCUGCCCUCCGGCGGUCCUCUGGUUAUUUCCACUUGACGCCUUCUUCAGCCGAUGGACACUGGAUUCUUAGGCUGGCACCUCCCUGAUCAUUCAGUUAUUAUCCACACCAAGCAUCCAUCCACAUACAUCCUCUGUCUCUAUUUUAAAUCACAAUUCUUAACAAAGCAAGAUGAAUACAACAAAAGGGCGGGGAGUCUCUGGGUGCUGUUUCUGUUGUUACAGAGUAUUGCUUUGACUCUCUCUGUGUGAGUAGUUGUUAUUACAAAGAAUUGCUUUGAGAACAGACUCUGUCUUAGAAUGUACUAACGCAAUUAGCAGCUUGCAAGUUUCACACAUAGAGGGAGAGAAACAGUACCAAAAACCAAGUACUCUUAAUUAGUAAUAUCCUGGAAUUGAAACAAUGGGGAAUCAAACUCAUUUGUGAUUUUAAUACAGAACUUCUUUAAUAUGAUCCAACACUAUAAAGCGGGCUUUUGGGGAGGAUUAGCCUGCUAAACCCAGGGUUGUGAGUUCAAUCCUUGAAGGGGCCAUUUAGGGAUCGGGGGCAAAAACUGGGGAUUGGUCCUGGUUUGAGCAGGGGGUUGGACUAGAUGACCUCCUGAGGUCCCUUCCAACCCUGAUACUCUAUGAUUCUAUGUUUGACCACUGGGAGGCAUUCACGGACAGAACCUCAUGGGAUGGACUUCACCUGAGUAGGGAGGGAAAUAGACUUCGGCAGUGCAGGUUGGCAGAACUGAUUAAAAGAGCUUUAAAUUAGGAAUUCAGGGAAAAUGUUUGGGAGAUACUCAUGUAAUCUCCUCGCCUGACUCUAAUAUUGAGCAGGAGGAAAAUCAAGUAAAAGAGGAUACAGCAAUGGGGAAAGGAACAGCAGUGGGUAGGAGAAGGGUCAUUAAGAGGAAAUAUAGUGCUGAUACCAAAGACACUAACGGUCAGGUAGGCGAUACUGGCAGUAAAAUGACCGUGUGAGGAAUCUGGGUGAAGCCAAGCAGAAGCAACUAAGAUGUCUGUACACCAAUGCAAAAUGGAGCAAUUAGAAUCACUGAUGUAGGAAAUGAAACCAGAUAUUAGAGGGAUAACAGAAACAUGGUGGAAUAGUAGUCAUGGCUGGAGUACAGAUAUUGAAGGGUAUGUGCUAUUUGGGAAAGACAGAAGUAAAGGUGGUGGAGAAGCUAUGUAUAUUAAUGAGGAGAUAGACUGUAAAGAAACUAGAAGUGAUGGAAUGGAUAAAAUAGAAUCUGUUUUUGGUCAAAAUCACUUUGAGGAAGAAAGCCAACAGAGGCUCCAGUGGGCUAGUGCUUGGGGUAUGCUACAGACCACCAGGAUCCAAUCUGGAUAUGGAUAGAGACCUCUUUAAUGCUUUUAAUUAAAUAAAUGCUACUGGGAAUUGUGUGAUUAUGGGAGACUUUAAUUUCCCAGGUAUAGAUUGGAGGACAAAUGCUAUUAAUAAUGGUAGGGUCCAGAUAUUCCUGGAUGAGAAAACGGACAGAUUUCUUCACCAAAUAGUCACUGAAUCAACAUGAGGUGAUGCCAUUUUAGAUUUGGUAUUAGUGAGUAGUGAGGACUUCAUAGAAGAACUGAUCCUAAAGGGCAUGAGCUAAUUCAAUUUAAACUAAAUUGAAGGAUAGACAAAAACAGAUCUGCAACUAGGGGCAAACUUUCAUAAAUCACUUAGGGAAGUGAACAGGAUAGAAGAACUCAAGGAUCUGAAUGUGGAGGAGACUUGGAAUUACUUUAAGUCAAACUUGCAGAAGCUAGCUAGAGCCUGCCUCCCAAGGAAGAGGAAAACAUUCAUAAGGAAGGGUUGCAAACCAAAUUUGAUGAGCAAGCAUUUUAAACAGGUGAUUAAGAGAAAGCAGAAAGCCUACAAGAGUGGACGAUGGGAUGGAUCAGGAAGGAAAGCUACCACUUGGAAGUCAGAAAGUGUAGGGAAAAAGUGAGAACUGCCAAAAGCCAAGCAGAGUUGGACCUUGCAAAGGAGAUUAAAACCAACAGUAAAAUGUUCUAUACUGAUAUAAAUAAAACGAAAACAAGGAAAGAAGAAGUGGGACUCCUAGAGACUGAAGAUGGGGUGAAGAUUAAAGAUAAUCUAGGCAUGGCCCAACACCUAAAUAAAUACUUUGCCUCAGUUUUUAAUAAGGGUAAUGAGGAGCUGAGGGACAGAACGAGGAGUAAUGGUCUCAAGUUGCAGUGGGGGAGGUUUAGGUUGGAUAUUAGGAAAAACUUUUUCACUAGGAGGGUGGUGGAAUCUCCUUCCUUUGAAGUUUUUAAGGUCAGGCUUGACAAAGCCCUGGCUGGGAUGAUUUAGUUGGGGAUUGGUCCUGCUUUGAGCAGGGGGUUGGACUAGAUUACCUCCUGAGGUCCCUUCCAACCCUGAUAUUCUAUGAUUCUAUGAGUCUAUGGCAGUGGCAGUGUGGCUAAUAGAAAUGAGGAUAUGAAAGUAGAAAUUACCACAUCUUAGGUGGAAUUCAAACUCAGACAACUUAUUGGGAUGAAACCGGAUAAACUCCAUCCAAGAAUAUUAAAGGAACUGGUACAUGAAAUCAUAGGUGCCGACUUCUGCAGGUGCUGGUGGGUGCUCUGCCCUGCCCCCUCCCACGCCUGCGCCCCCCAAUUCCAAUCCCUUCCCCAAAGUCCCUGGCCCAACUCUGCCCCCUCCCUGCUCCUAUUCCCACCCC